rnacentral:sRNA from 1 species
AUAUAAAUGACAAAAGA